rfam:Helianthus annuus linkage group 8, whole genome shotgun sequence.
UCACUUACCUGGACGAGGUCAAUGGACGAUCAAGAAGGUCCAUGGCCUAGGUUGGUGACCUCCAUUGCACUCAGGAGGGGUGCCUGCCUAAGGUCGGCCCAAGUGGUCGAGCCUACGUCAUAAUUUGUGGCAGUGGAGGCCUGCGUUCGCGCGGCCUCUGC